rnacentral:antisense_RNA from 1 species
GUAGAUAACAGAACAUUGAUAUUGAUAGUUUUACAGGCCGUCAAACUGUUUCCUUACUGACUGUUUUAUUUACGCUGCUUUUUCCUAAUUAACUCCUAAUUUUUGUUUGUAUCAGCCCAGCACACAAUUGUACUGGGCUUUUUUUA